rnacentral:ncRNA from 1 species
GACGGUGAUCAGCGAAGUUGAAUCCGUAAUGAGUGGGACAACUCACUGCCGAAGCAACUAGACCCUUAAAAUGAUGCGCUUAAAGCGUAUACCUAUACAUUACCGCUAAAGUAGAUGAUUUAUAUUACUUGUGAUAUAAAUUUGAAACUUUAGUGAGUAGGAAGGUACAAUGGUAUGCGUAGAAGUGUUUGGCGUAAGCCUGCAUGGAGCUGCCAUUGGUACAGAUCUUGGUGGUAGUAGCAAAUAAUCGAAUGAGACCUUGGAGGACUGAAGUGGAGAAGGGUUUCGUGUGAACAGUGGUUGAUCACGAGUUAGUCGGUCCUAAGUUCAAGGCGAAAGCCGAAAAUUUUCAAGUAAAACAAAAAUGCCUAACUAUAUAAACAAAGCGAAUAUAAUACACUUGAAUAAUUUUGAACGAAAGGGAAUACGGUUCCAAUUCCGUAACCUGUUGAGUAUCCGUUUGUUAUUAAAUAUGGGCCUCGUGCUCAUCCUGGCAACAGGAACGACCAUAAAGAAGCCGUCGAGAGAUAUCGGAAGAGUUUUCUUUUCUGUUUUAUAGCCGUACUACCAUGGAAGUCUUUCGCAGAGAGAUAUGGUAGAUGGGCUAGAAGAGCAUGACAUAUACUGUUGUGUCGAUAUUUUCUCCUCGGACCUUGAAAAUUUAUGGUGGGGACACGCAAACUUCUCAACAGGCCGUACCAAUAUCCGCAGCUGGUCUCCAAGGUGAAGAGUCUCUAGUCGAUAGAAUAAUGUAGGUAAGGGAAGUCGGCAAAUUAGAUCCGUAACUUCGGGAUAAGGAUUGGCUCUGAAGAUUGAGAUAGUCGGGCUUGAUUGGGAAACAAUAACAUGGUUUAUGUGCUCGUUCUGGGUAAAUAGAGUUUCUAGCAUUUAUGUUAGUUACUUGUUCCCCGGAUAGUUUAGUUACGUAGCCAAUUGUGGAACUUUCUUGCUAAAAUUUUUAAGAAUACUAUUUGGGUUAAACCAAUUAGUUCUUAUCAAUUAUAACGAAUCCACCACAGUGGCG